rfam:Schistosoma mansoni, Puerto Rico, WGS project CABG01000000 data, contig: 0044
GUCCAGCUGACGAGUCCCAAAUAGGACGAAACGCGUGUCCUGGAU